rnacentral:tRNA from 1 species
CGGGGCGUGGCGCAGCUUGGUAGCGCACUAGCAUGGGGCGCUAGGGGUCGUGGGUUCAAAUCCCGCCGUCCCGACCA